ACUUCUCCUUACCUUUGAUUGAAUGAGUUUUGCAUUAUGUUUUCAAUGAUUGCGAAGCAAGAAUGAGGAUGCCCUCUUCCUUAGAUGGUACUCCCUUCACUCUUACUUUCAAAAGAGAGUACCUAUGUCAUUGUGUAACAACACCAGGUUACUGAAAGUACUUGAGAGAUUGCAAAGCUAGGGAGUGAGCAAGGGGCUUAGGCAAGGGGCUCGCUGGAUCUGGGGCACAGCUGUGGCUACCAGCACAUGAAAGAUUUAUAGCAAAGUUUUAAAUAGCCGGCUAAUAGCGGCUAUUUAGCCGGCUAUAGCCUUUCAGAAGGUCCGGAGCUAAGAGAUGCACCAUUUAGCGCUAACCAAAAUUAGCGGCUAAUAGCCUUAUUUAGCCCGCUAAAUACACAACAUUAGCUCGAUUUAGCUGCUAAACACACAAUCUUUUUUACUGUUCGAACCUUUGAAGCAUUGAGGCCCAAAAACAAACUGUGGGCAGACCCUUUUAACUUAAUGUUUGUUAGGUAGUGGUUAAAUACCUUUUACAUAUGUCGUUGAACGUUGAAUUUGCAUGUAUGUUGAUUUAUUAUUAAACAUUUGAACUACUAAUUUGAAUUUUAAGGUUCAAAUAUUGAACAUUUAAUUUAUCUAUAAAGUCAUGUCAUGUUUUUUAAAAAUCCGCUAAAUGAAUUAGCUUGCCGCUAUAGCCGGCUAUAGCCUUUAUAGCUUAUCCAAAAGCUUGCCGCUAAGGCCCUUAGCCGGACAUUUAAAACAGUGAUUUAUAGCGAUUAGGGUUGCAGAUGUCUAAUACCAAGAGGCUCGCUGGAUCUGGGCCUCUGGGGCACCGCUGUGGCUACCAGCACAUGAAAGAUUUAUAGUGGCAUGACACUAGAGACUAGGAGGGCCCUGGGUACCAAGAGGGCCUCGAUACCUGGCCGGCCGGCCCUCUGGCCUUGAGGGCACCGGAGGCUAGAAGGGCCCCAGGACCAGGUCCCCUGGCUUGGAGGGCUCCAGACUUAGUCGAAGCUGGGCAUGGCCCCUUGGGGCACAGGGUCUAGGGUUAUGAGGUUGAUAUGAGUCGGAACUACUUUGGGUUUUCUUUUGCUGGUGGGAUCUUCAGAAGACAUAUUGCUGGUAUUCAGAAGUAUGACCUUUCUUGGACGUUGACAAUCUAUUUUGCCAUAGAAAUUUUUUAACAUGGGAUACUGAGCUCAAAUGACAUUCCCUCCAAUCCAUUUUAUUAAGCGAUACAACAUCAUGAUUCCAUUUUUAUUAGGUUUGUAAGUGUGUUGCUUUGAUCUUUAUGUGCAUUAACUCAACUGGAGAAGCUGAAGCGUCCAUCACUGCUGCAUGCGUGUGUUUCCUUGAGCUAGGUUGGCCAGGCUUGCGGCAUGCAUGCAUACAUGCAGGAGUCCUAGCGCGGCACCCGACAUUAGUCAUUGUGUAAAGGGGUGUUUGGUUUCUAGGGACUAUUUUUUAUUCCCUUCAUUGUAUUCCAUUUUAGUCCCUAAAUUGCCAAAUACGGAAACUAAUUUUUUUAUUUGAGUUUCCGUAUUUAGCAAUUUAGGGACUAAAAUUGAAUAAAAUGGAGGAACUAAAAAUUAGUCCCUAACUCCCUAUAAACCAAACACCCCCUAAGUCUUGGUAUUGCGAUUUUUUUGCCUUUGCCUAACAUACCAGAUCCGAUGGAGUAUAUUCUGUUUUACACUGUUUUUGUCUAUAUUGGCCGAGUACCAUUACAAAAUCGUGAUUCUUAAAUGUAACACACCGCAACGAUUGUUAUACUUAUGUAUCUGAUUUGAGGAGAGAGGCGGUGGGGGAGGAUUAACAUUUUCUCAAUUGUCUUUAUCUUCUCACGGGACUCACGCCAUAUAUGAUAGUGGCCUCCCUCCUCCCCUCCUCUCUUCCCUUGUUCAUCUGCUUUUGUGCUGUCGCCUCCUGGAAGCUAAAAUCGAGCCACAUAGUUGCUGCUAAGGUCUAUCCACACAGUCCCAGGAGUGCUGCUUCUUUACCUGUUGUGAUGGGGUGAGUGGUGUCUGCCAUGUUGGGCAUCUCCGGCAGCAGCGGCGGUGGAGGAGGCACAGCGGUGGUGGCAUGAGCAACUCUGAUGGUGUCGACGUGCGACACUUGAUCUUGACACUAGCCUGCUUGCGCUGCUCUGGUUUUACUCAGCGCUGCUCGUGUUUGCACUUGGGGAGGUUGUGGCUGUGCAUGAGGUGCCUCCUACGGGCGGGGAAUGGAGGCGAGCAACAGCAUCUGGAUCCGUCCCACUGCUGGAAGGGGAUGGAUGAGCUGCCGGCACCCAGCUUGGACUCGCUGCUGGGGGGACAAAUAGGAUGUAGAAGCACAGAUCAGGCUGCGAUUCAUAUUGCGAGAAGGAAGAGGUGGUGGUGGCCCCCAGCUUCCAAUCACCAACACAGGAGUUGGAGAGAGAGGGAGGAAGAACUGAAGUGGAUCGGAAAUACAUUUCUACCCCCUCUGUUUCAUAUUGGAAAAUGAUUGUUUACAUGGCUGUGGUGUGAAGUGUGAAGUGUGAACGAGCAAAGAUCCAUACUUUUGUAAAGGUAACUGGCCAAUUUGGUUGUUUGUGGUUUGAAAUGGCAAAUCCACGCAAGUUGGAUGUUCCACAUCAAAAUUUGCCUUUGUCAUAUGACAUGUCAAUGGGUAUGUUGGUUUAUUGGACUAUUACCUGCUAUUUGCUCUUAGUUAUCAGAAAACAGCUAUGACCUAUGAGGAGCCAAAAUUUGGAAGAUGAAUUCAACAUGUCUACCUAUGGUUGAAAGAUAACCUAGAAAUUGCAAAUGCUGUCAUCAAUGGUUCAUGAUGACGAUGAUUAAUGCACUAUUUAACCAUAUGGCUUGCCACUUAGCAAGUGGCGUAUACGCGACUGGGGGGGGGGGUGCCCCCCCCAACAAAAAGAACUAUAUUUAUCAAUCUAUGGCUAAAAUAAAUGUGGUAGUUUAUAAUAAGUUAAAAUAUGUUAUGUACUUAGCGUAUAUAUGUGUUACUUGUUAUAACUAGUGACUAUUGUAUAUUUAUAUAUACAUAUAUUCUAUUUAUUAACAUUACAACUAUAGUUAUAUGUGUUGCCCCCCCUAACGAAAACUCCUGGCUACGCCUCUGCCCUUACUACCAUUUCUAGUUUCUAGUCCACUAGGCAUAUCUCUUAUGAAUACAUGCCAUAUUUUGGGCCUUUAUUUGUUAAAAUAAACUAGACCAACCUAGGAGGACUAGGCGUUUUUAUACGAAGAAGAAAUAGUCAUCCAAUUUUUUUCUCAACACGGACUCGAGCUUGGGAGUUGGGUGGUUUGGGCAUAGUUGCGGUCUUUAUCCAUAAUGAAUGCAUAUAGGGUUAUUCCACGAUACUCCAAUAACCCCCUAGGAGUUCAGAGUUCUAAAUAAAUCUGGAAUGUUGAAUUUCCAAAGAGAUAAAAUGAUUAAUAAACAUAAAAUGAAAAAUAUCUGGGUAAUCUGGUUUAUCCAGUGUGCAUCUCCUGUGGCUGCACCAUUGUCGGCAACCUCGUCAAUGUUCCUAGGAGGUAAUAAUUCAUGAUACUCCAUCCGUCCCAGUAUAUAAGAGCAAAUAUAAUAAAGGGCGGUAAGCAGGCUAAAUGCUAAAGUGAAGGAGAGAGAAGAGAAGGAAGAGGAGAAGUGGGUUGUAAAUUUAUAGCUGACUUAGAGCCUUAGACACAAGAAUCAAGAAGCUUUGUGAGGGAGACGAGUGGAGUCCUACAUUAAUAGUGAAGCUCUAACUACUAUAUGGAUGGGCUAAGAGGUAGGUUGUACAGAUUCUUACCGGUAGCAGUCAUCUAUAUUAUUAAACUUGCUCUAAGGCGUAACCACCUCUGGUUUAAAAACCAAGAAAUGUAUUUAAUUCUCUCUAACGACACAAGUAGUAUUGCAUCGAUGUACGUAUGUCUAGAGAAAGCACGCCUUAUGAGACUAGAAUAAAAAGUGGCUGCGCCUCAUAUUAUGGGAUGGAGGGAGUAUCUUAUCCAGAUAGACGGUCCACAAUCAUGUCGGAGUAUGUAGAAAUUGCCAUUUUAUAUGCUCACAUUUAGUUUUCAAUGGGCAGUAGUAUAAGUCUGAUGUUUUACAUGCCGUGAUAUCAUCAUCAGGCAAAAACAUGUUGCCUGCUUUCUGAAUUUCCAUUGCUUUGGUCCAUCUGUGGCAGUUAGCUGCUUAUUUUUUAUUACUAUGUUUUUGCUAAAAA